AGUGAACGCUGGCGGUAGGCCUAACACAUGCAAGUCGAACGGCAGCACAGUAAGAGCUUGCUCUUACGGGUGGCGAGUGGCGGACGGGUGAGGAAUACAUCGGAAUCUACUUUUUCGUGGGGGAUAACGUAGGGAAACUUACGCUAAUACCGCAUACGACCUACGGGUGAAAGCAGGGGAUCUUCGGACCUUGCGCGAUUGAAUGAGCUCAUGUCGGAUUAGCUAGUUGGCGGGGUAAAGGCCCACCAAGGCGACGAUCCGUAGCCGGUCUGAGAGGAUGAUCAGCCACACUGGAACUUAGACACGGUCCAGACUCCUACGGGAGGCAGCAGUGGGGAAUAUUGGACAAUGGGCGCAAGCCUGAUCCAGCCAUACCGCGUGGGUGAAGAAGGCCUUCGGGUUGUAAAGCCCUUUUGUUGGGAAAGAAAAGCAGCAGGUUAAUACCCCGCUGUUCUGACGGUACCCAAAGAAUAAGCACCGGCUAACUUCGUG
rnacentral:rRNA from 1 species